rnacentral:rRNA from 1 species
UACGAAGGGGGCUAGCGUUGCUCGGAAUCACUGGGCGUAAAGCGCACGUAGGCGGAUUGCUAAGUCAGGGGUGAAAUCCUGGAGCUCAACUCCAGAACUGCCUUUGAUACUGGCGAUCUUGAGUCCGGGAGAGGUGAGUGGAACUGCGAGUGUAGAGGUGAAAUUCGUAGAUAUUCGCAAGAACACCAGUGGCGAAGGCGGGUUGCUAGGCUGAUACUGACGCUGAGGCGCGAAAGCUAGGGUAGCAAACGGG